rnacentral:rRNA from 1 species
UACGUAGGGUGCGAGCGUUAAUCGGAAUUACUGGGCGUAAAGCGUGCGCAGGCGGUUUUGUAAGCCAGAUGUGAAAGCCCCCGGGCUUAACCUGGGAAUGGCAUUUGGGACUGCAAGGCUGGAGUGUGGCAGAGGAGACUGGAAUUCCUGGUGUAGCAGUGAAAUGCGUAGAUAUCAGGAGGAACACCGAUGGCGAAGGCAGGUCUCUGGGCCGAUACUGACGCUGAGGAGCGAAAGCGUGGGGAGCGAACAGG